AGAGACCGGCGCACGGGUGCGUAACGCGUAUGCAAUCUACCUUUUACAGAGGGAUAGCCCAGAGAAAUUUGGAUUAAUACCUCAUAGUAUAGCAGUUUCGCAUGAAACCACUAUUAAAGUCACAACGGUAAAAGAUGAGCAUGCGUCCCAUUAGCUAGUUGGUAAGGUAACGGCUUACCAAGGCUACGAUGGGUAGGGGUCCUGAGAGGGAGAUCCCCCACACUGGUACUGAGACACGGACCAGACUCCUACGGGAGGCAGCAGUGAGGAAUAUUGGACAAUGGGCGCAAGCCUGAUCCAGCCAUGCCGCGUGCAGGAUGACGGUCCUAUGGAUUGUAAACUGCUUUUAUACGAGAAGAAACACUGCUUCGUGAAGCAGCUUGACGGUAUCGUAAGAAUAAGGAUCGGCUAACUCCGUGCCAGCAGCCGCGGUAAUACGGAGGAUCCAAGCGUUAUCCGGAAUCAUUGGGUUUAAAGGGUCCGUAGGCGGUUUAAUAAGUCAGUGGUGAAAGCCCAUCGCUCAACGGUGGAACGGCCAUUGAUACUGUUAGACUUGAAUUAUUAGGAAGUAACUAGAAUAUGUAGUGUAGCGGUGAAAUGCUUAGAGAUUACAUGGAAUACCAAUUGCGAAGGCAGGUUACUACUAAUGGAUUGACGCUGAUGGACGAAAGCGUGGGUAGCGAACAGGAUUAGAUACCCUGGUAGUCCACGCCGUAAACGAUGGAUACUAGCUGUUGGAAGCAAUUUCAGUGGCUA
rnacentral:rRNA from 1 species